GACGGGUUAGGAGGCAGAAGGAGCCCGUGCUGGCCGUGGCUCCUUGAUCUUGGACUUCCCAGCCUCCAGAACUGUGAGCCACAUACCUGUCUGUUCAUUGUAAGUCACCCCGGGGUCUGUGACCCUCUUACAGCAGCACAAACACUGAGACAGCUGGGGAAUGCCACUUCCAGACCCACCUCGUUGACAGGGGACAAUCGGGCACUCACCUUGUCCAGACAGAUGUGCAGGUUUUGAGGGUGACUUAGGCCACAGAAUGGAUACUGCGGUGAGCAGUUGGGCACAGAGCACCAGGGGACUCUGCCUCGUCUGAGUGACAGGAAGGACAGCUGAGAGCAGGAGUCAGAAAUCUGUACAGGGCUUGGAAACCCACCAAGUCGGGUAGGUGAGGAAGACAGAGCCCGUAGAAGGAUUCCCAACUCUCAGGUGUGGAACGGAGGCUUUGGAGAAGGCAGCCUCCCUGUGCUCUGAGGACAAGAGCAGGCUUGGAGGGGCCUUGGUACCACCUCCGUAUUCCCAAUGGGAUGAAGCUUGCUCAGGCUGUGGUGGAGGGGAAGGGAAGAGGCCCUUGAACGGGCACCUGGAGGUCAGUGGGAAUUGGCAGCGCCGUGAGGAGUGGCUAAGGAGCGCUGGGGAGGGCAGGUGGCACACCAGGGCUGUAUAGUGCGUUAGCUGGCCAGACCCCAGCGCAAGAGGGCUGUUCACAGGUCUGCCAACCCCCAU
rnacentral:lncRNA from 1 species